CGGCCGCGUUCGCACCCCAGGGUCUCACCGGCAAGGGAAGGAUAAUCUGGAGAGGGAGCUCUCAGGAGGGUGUGCUCCGGAUUUCUUGCCUCAGGCCCAGGACUCCAACCAUUUUAUAAUGGAAUCUUUAUUUUGUGAAAGUAGCGGGGACUCAUCUCUCGAGAAGGAGUUCCUUGGGGCCCCAGUGGGGCCCUCGGUGAGCACCCCAAACAGCCAGCACUCUUCACCCAGCCGCUCGCUCAGUGCCAACUCCAUCAAGGUGGAGAUGUACAGCGAUGAGGAGUCGAGCAGACUGCUGGGGCCGGAUGAACGGCUCCUGGAUAAGGAUGACAGUGUGAUUGUGGAGGACUCAUUGUCGGAGCCCUUGGGCUACUGCGACG
rnacentral:lncRNA from 1 species